UGCUCGUUUUAUUGAAUAUCCUGAAAGAGUUAUUAGGAUACGAUUUUUCAUCUCAAAGGAUCACAAAGUGUUUGUGAGACACCAUGCUAUCUUCAUGAAAAUAGUUUAUCCUUGAUAGAGGCAGUGGGAGGAAAAUUGAGCUUGAAGAGAAAGUCUCUGAAAAGCAACGAGUCAUGGAUCCUAUCGAACCCAUUAAUACAGAGCCAGUACACGAUAUCCCUCAACCACCUCGCAGAUCAAGUAGGGUCUCCCAUCCUCCCGAUAGAUACUUAGGUAUACUAGAAGAGGAUAUCGAGGAAAUGUUCCUAGUGGGAGAUAGGGAUCACACGCAGGAUCCCAAAACCUACGACGAGGCGAUAUCUAAUAUCGAUUCCGAGAAAUGGAUGGAAGCUAUG
rnacentral:lncRNA from 1 species